GUGACCCAAGUCAGAGAGUUACACGGGCAUGGACACGGGUUGGGACAUGGCCAUGUGUCCCUAUUUCAAAUGCCCACAUGACCUGAGACAUGGGCGUGUCUCCUAACUGUGUGAGUCAUACGGCCUGGCCACACGGUCAUGUGUCCCCAGCAACUUUGAAAAAUUUCAAUGUUUUCAGAAAAAUUCUUUGGGUACCCGGUUCAGUCCUGACUUAUUUCUAACAUGUAUUUUUGGCCUCAAGGGCUCAUAUAAG
rnacentral:lncRNA from 1 species